rnacentral:rRNA from 1 species
GACGAACGCUGGCGGCGUGCUUAACACAUGCAAGUCGAACGGAAAGGCUCCAGCUUGCUGGCGUACUCGAGUGGCGAACGGGUGAGUAACACGUGGGUAAUCUGCCCUGCACUCUGGGAUAAGCCUGGGAAACUGGGUCUAAUACUGGAUAUGACCUUUCUCCUUAUGGGGUUUGGUGGAAAGUUUUUCGGUGUAGGAUGAGCCCGCGGCCUAUCAGCUUGUUGGUGGGGUGAUGGCCUACCAAGGCGACGACGGGUAGCCGGCCUGAGAGGGUGAUCGGCCACAUUGGGACUGAGAUACGGCCCAGACUCCUACGGGAGGCAGCAGUAGGGAAUAUUGCACAAUGGGCGGAAGCCUGAUGCAGCGACGCCGCGUGAGGGAUGACGGCCUUCGGGUUGUAAACCUCUUUCAGCAGGGACGAAGCGUAAGUGACGGUACCUGCAGAAGAAGCACCGGCUAACUAUGUG